rnacentral:misc_RNA from 1 species
UGUCAAGCACUGGCAGAGCCUCUUAGG